AUUGAACGCUGGCGGCAUGCCUUACACAUGCAAGUCGAACGGCAGCACGGGUGCUUGCACCUGGUGGCGAGUGGCGAACGGGUGAGUAAUACAUCGGAACAUGUCCUGUAGUGGGGGAUAGCCCGGCGAAAGCCGGAUUAAUACCGCAUACGAUCUACGGAUGAAAGCGGGGGACCUUCGGGCCUCGCGCUAUAGGGUUGGCCGAUGGCUGAUUAGCUAGUUGGUGGGGUAAAGGCCUACCAAGGCGACGAUCAGUAGCUGGUCUGAGAGGACGACCAGCUACACUGGGACUGAGACACGGCCCAGACUCCUACGGGAGGCAGCAGUGGGGAAUUUUGGACAAUGGGCGAAAGCCUGAUCCAGCAAUGCCGCGUGUGUGAAGAAGGCCUUCGGGUUGUAAAGCACUUUUGUCCGGAAAGAAAUCCUUGGCCCUAAUACGGUCGGGGGAUGACGGUACCGGAAGAAUAAGCACCGGCUAACUACGUG
rnacentral:rRNA from 1 species